CUCCCUUCCUCCCCCAGGCCACUCCUGGCCAUUCUGGGGCUUGUCGCCUGGGCUGGAGUUUCCGCGCGCCCGGCACCCCCGCCCACCCCCGGGCCAUUUACCGAUGUGGUUGUCCUCGAUGUGUUCGAUGAGGUCGGCCAGGGUGGGGAAGUGGAGUCCGCAGCCCCCGAAUCGGCAGGGCUCCUGUUGAGACUGGAGACAGACACCAGGCUUAUCUGUUCAUGUCAUGGGAGGCUGAUUCUGCGCUGUGCUCUAUGAUUAAAGGCUUCCAGAUUAAACCGAGUUCUGAAGACCAACAGAAGAUCAGGAAGAUAGAGCAAAGAUGGGAGAAAAAACGCAUCAUUCCACAGGGGAACUUAUUCGUUCUCAGGGCAGGGGGGACUCAGCCCUGAUGAAAACUGCCCUACCAGGGAAGGGUUGCCAGAUGCUUUCCUUUAUCUUACAUCAUUUUAUGGCCUGCAAGUAGGAUUUCUCAUGACUCCUGAUGGAAGAAGCCAGGCGCAACAAGGUUUAUGGAGAGACAGAGCUGGGAUUGCCUCUAAGACUCUCUGACUACAGACUGCAUUCUCUUUCAAUGAAUCAGUGCUGCUAUCAGAGACUGUGAAACUUUGGUGUUGACUCCAAGUUUAAAGGAUGCCAAAAGGAACACGAACAGAUAAACUCAUCUAAGAAGAAAAUGAAAAGGAUCUGACAAGUGAUUUGCCGCGAUGAGGAUGAGGGAUGAGGACUGAGGCAUGAAAUUCCACUCUAGGGCAAUGGAAAUACUGUCUGCCUUGAUGUGGAUGUUGAUUUUAUGGACCUGUCCAGUGGACCUCUGUCACAGCUCUUCAAAUUGCAUACUUCAGUCCUAUGUCUGCAAAAUGACAGGGUCACCCCAUGUGGCACCAACUGCCCUGUUUCUCCAAGGCUGCGCAGCCAACAGAAGAUAAAGGCGUUUCCGCAGACAGCCAAGGGGGCUGAGAGAACCUCCUCCUGGCAGAGCUGUGCUAGCUCCAGAGAUAACGCAGUGAAGCAGACAGAUACCAUCUCUCUCCUCUCAGGACUUGCAAUUAUAAACCACAUUCCAGUGGAAAUAAGGAAAGAAGCAGAUGCCCAAACUUAGAUGUGAUCUUCGGUCUUCCAUUGCCCUCUCAGAUGUUAAACAAUCUCUAUGUGUCAUUUCCUUACUGAACAAGCAAAGCUACACUGGUCUAACUUUUGAGGAAAGUCUCAUAAAGUUGAUUUACCAAAUUAAAUCAUAAUCUAAAAACACUUUAGUUUUUUAAUAGCAGAAAAUAUAAAACAGUAGUGUGAAUAACAAACAUACCUAUUUUAAUUGAUAGCAACUCUUGCCAUGGUUGUGUUGAAUGUUCUUCCAAAAGCCUAUCCAUUAAACACUUGGUUCCUGGGGUGAUGCUAUUGGAAGGCAGUAUAAACUUUAGAGGUUUAAGGCUCUCCUUACUGGGAGGUCCUUGGGUUAUUGGGGUGCCUUCAAAGGGGAUCAUGGAAUGCUGGUUCCUUCCUCAUUUUCUUUUUUGACUCCUGACCAUGAAGUGAGCAGUCUGCUCUACAACAAACUGCCUGCCAUUGCUUUCUGGCUUACCUACCAAAGGUGCAAAAUAUUGGGUCUGCUUGGUCUUGGACUGGAAACUCCCAAACUACAAACCAAAACAAUUUUUUCUUUCUUAGUUUUCUCAGGUAUUUCAUUAUAGUUUCUGAAGGCUGAUUAAUGCAUCUGUAUUUUUAGGGUUGCUCCAAGUGGUUAACAUUUCUUCCCAGUUUGUAUGGAAAAAUCCUCUCUUAAAAGUUCAUCUUUUGGCAUAACAGUGCUAUUGUGGAUCCUAACAGGUCAGCAUAGGCCUGCAUGGCAGGCUGGUCCUGGCUAAAACCAUGAAUGGAGAGCCACAAGCCGCUCUCCCUGGACUGGGAAGGGGCUUCUUUUCAACUCCGUUUAUUCAGCAUCUCAUACCUGCGCUGCUCUUUCCUUAUUAAAAGUUUUCAGAAACUAAUGUAGUAUUAAUACACAUAGAAUAUAAAAUAUAAAUUUUAGGAGAAACCAAAAGGGUGAAUUUAGGAGAAAAAAAGCUUUAAGGGAAAGAAAUUAACUUAAAUAGGUACUUUAUGCUUAGGUACUGGUGAGCACACAGAAUAUACUGAGGUAUAAAAAAAGUCUAAGUGUAAAAUAAUUGAAGAAUAAAAAAGAGAAAACUAUUGUUUAACACUACUAGGUCAUGUGAUCAGUGUCAGGUGCAGAGGAAGAGCCCAGGCUUUGGGUGACAGACACAGUGCGCCUGGUGUGUUAGCAUUUUGUCACUCUAAUAUUCAAGAUAAUCAACUCCUAAGCAGGAAGAGUUUAUUUUGGCUCGUAAUUUUGGAGGUUUCAGUCUACAAUUAGUUGGCCCUUUUGCUGUGGGUCUUUGGCAAGGUAGUGCAUCAUGGCUGGAACACAUGGUAGAACGAAGAUCCUUUUAUCAGUCAGAAAUCAAAAGGGAAGAAUUGAACGGGUCAGGAUCCCUAAAUCCCAUAAUGGGGGAGUUAAGGACUUGAAGACCUUUCUCAAAGCCCUACCCCCCAAAGAUGUCAAGUUUCCCAAGAGCUAUGCCCUUAGGGUCCAAGCUGUUGGCAAAUGGCUUUUAGGGUUAUUUAAAAUUUAGCUAUAACAUGUAAGUUUGAGAUCUUACAGGGCCUCUGUUUCUUCUGCCACAAAACUGAGAUAAUAUCUAGUUUAUAAGAUGAUAUCUAUUAUAAUAUUUUAUCAUUUAUCACGAGGUUUAAAUAUGGUAAUAUGUGAAAAGCAGUGGACCUUAUUAAAUGGCCAAUUGAUAUGGGGUGUGGCUGGAUUACAAAGGUGUUUAUGAGGUCUAUAUAUGAGCACUUCUUGAAUCCCUUUGCUAUCUGUCAGUUAGGUACAACAGGCUUUUUGAUCAUUUCUGAACCCCAGUACUUUUGAAUACUAAUGGACACAUAUGGAGGACAGAAUGGGAAGAGCAGACUAAUUUGAAAAACAAAUCAACUUCUGCUAUUUUUAUGAAGUAAAAUAUUGAUUCCUUAGUUUGUAUUCUAAUAAAUCAGGACCUCAUGUUCUGUGUUCAUUUACUCUUCACUUAUAAGCUGCAAAGAUAUUGUAAGUCAAAUAUUUUUCCUUAGAAAAUGUAUUUUAAAAGUUAAUUGUCUCAAUUCUUUUUAUUAGGUUAAAAAACUGAUAAAAACAACAUAACUUUUGAGGAAAGCACAGCAAAUAUGGAACAUGUCAUAAAUUUUCAUGUCAUCCUUGCGCUCAGGCCACGCCAAUAUUCUCUAUAGCAUUCCAAUUUUAGUAUUUAGGCUGCUAAAAUGAGAACAGCAAGCUUGUUUUGAGUGUAAAAUCUGGGAAAUAUUCCUAAGAAAUUCUGAUGCAGAUCUUCAGUAGAUCCUCAAGUACCUACAUUUUUCUAAGACUGUAGGUCAUUUCAGGCAAAGUGGCUGGAGUAAUCUUAGAGAAAUAUGUCUUGAGAGAGGUUGCUUUGAUAUUCACUUUGAGAAACCCUUGUUUGGUCAUCUGGUAAUGCAAAGGAAAAGCAGCGCAUCUUUCAGAGGUGGAAAGGUUAAAGACAAUGAACAACUAAUUUGAUUGGCAAAGUAAAGUCAAAGAUCAUUUUCAUUGUGAAGUGAAAUUUUGGCAGUGUGUCUUUAUGGGAAUGUUCCUUUGUUAUUAAUACAUAUUUAGAUUACUAUGAAUCUGGGGAUGAUUUGCUUUCUAACAAGUUACUAAAUACUGAGUUCUGCUGGAGAGCUGGAGCAAGAUGGCCAGGUUCUCUUUGCAGAUAUGAAAACAGCACAUGGUGGGCCUGGAAGUACCAUAGUCCAGUACAUGUAGUUCUGUGGUGUUAUUUCUUUUUUUUAAAAUUUUAUUUAAAGAAAGACUAAACAAAACAGAAAAUAGGUAGAAAUAAUACAUAUGUUCAGAGAAAAAAAUAAACAGUAAGAAAUCACUAGUUGAUGUUUACAUAUUAUGUUUUACAAAUAGUUGUUCAAAACACAAAAAUGGAACAUGUAAAGUGGAAAUUCAAAUAGUGACACUGCAAACAGUUCUGUUCAACUGUCCAACAAAAACUUAGUAACAUGGUGGUCAAUCCUAUAUGCUUAAACAUACAUGCAGUUAUCCAUAUCUUCAUUUAUGUUUAGAUUAAACAAACUAAAGCAGGUUAAAAUCAUUCUGAACAAAGAAUAAUAGUAUUGCUGGAUUUCACAUCAUGACACUCCGUGAUCAGCACUGGGUACUGUAGUGUCUUUUUUGUUUUAAUUUAAUUUAAAGAAAGACUAAACAAAACAGAAAAUGGGUAGAAAUAAUACAUGAUUUCAAAGAAAAAACUAAACAGUAAGAAAUCACCAGCUGAUGAUUACAGAUUGUCUCCUUACAAAUAGUUAUUCAAGCUACUAAAGUGGAGCAUAUAAAGUGGGGAUUCAAACAGUGAGAUUGCAACCAGUUCUGUUCAACUAUCCAAAAAAAAAAAACCUUAGAAAUAUGGUUAUCAAUCCUAUACACUUAAACAUACAUGCAAUUAUCCAUAUCUUCAAUUAUGUUGAGAUUGAACAAACCCAAGCAGGUUAGUAUCACUCUGAACAAAGGAUAGUAUUAUUGCUAGGCUUCACAUUAUGACACUCCAGGACCAGCACUGGGUAUUUUAGUGUUUCUUUUUCUUCAAAGUAUUUGUUCAUUUCAUCAUAUGUCAUAAGAUUAGUUCUCAUACACUGUUUAUAGAUUUUACACAUGCAUGAGUCUUAACAUAUAUUUCUAUCCUUUCUAUAUUAGAGGGAGAAACAAAACAAAGCAAGGCAAAACAAAACACAUUCCUAUUAAACACAAGAAAUGAAAUAAACAUAUAAGACCAUUGUACAAAGAGUUCUACCAUGGUUCCUGUGUUGUCUCUUGUUAUCUCCAAUAGAAUUGGCUAUAUCAUCAGACAUAGUAUAAUUGAAUAUAUCAGUAUUAAUAACAGUAUUAAUAAAUAUACAACUUUGUAUAUAGUAUAGAACUUCAAAAACAGGCAGUUAUCAAACCAGAAUGUGUACUGUAGAGUCUUGUCAUCUUCAGUGUAGUUGCCUCUACUCUUAGACUUGAUACUAUCAAUCAUAUCAGUUUUGAAUAAAAUCUUCUCUGCCUCAUUUCUGUUAUGCUCUUUUUUUGCCAUUAGUUGUCCGCUUAUCUUCUUCAUUCUGUUGUCUGCUCCAUUCAUUGAGGCCUCUCUGCCACUGUUCCUGGAAUCCUAGUACUUUUCUCUCUCUCUAGAAUGCCCUGCAGUAUUCUCUGUAGAGUUGGAUUGGUGGUUGCGAAUUUCCCAAGUUCCUGUUUCUCUUGGAAGCAUCUUGUUUUUCCAUUAAUUUCUAGAGACAGUUUAGUAGGGUAUAUCAAUUGGGGCUGGAGGUUAUUUUCUUUCAGGGCUUGGAAUAUUUUGCUCCAGGCUCUUCUUGACUUGAUGGUUUGUGUCAAGAAGUCUGCCGUUAUUCUGAUGGGCCUUCCUUUAUAGGUGAUGGCUCUUGUCUCUAACAGCUUUUAAUAUUCUGUUCUUAUAUUGAAUUUCUGGGAUUUUGAUUAUUAUAUGCCUGGGUGUAGCUCUAUUUUGGUUGUAGGUGGCUGGAGUUCUGUAUGCCUCAUAUAUCAGAAUAUCAUUUCCUUUUCCUAUGUUUGGGAAGUUUUCCUUAAUUAUUUCUGUGAAUAACCUUUGUAGUUCCUUUAUUUGUACCCCUGUUUCUUCAUUCACAUUAUUCUCAAGUUAUAGAUCUUUUGUCAUCUUCUAGCCUUUGUAUUGUUACUGCUUAUUUCCUUGUUAUUUUUUAAAAGUUUUCCCUUUCACAAUCCCACAUUGCAAAAUUGUCCUCCAGUUUGGAUAAUCUAUCCUUAGUUUCUUUCAAGCUGCUUUGCCAUCUUUCCAUAGAGUUUUUAAUUUCCUGGUGAUCUCUUUGAAUCUGCUUCAUGUAUUCUAUAUUUUUUUUAUAUUCUUCAUCAAAUGGUUCUCUCCUUUGUUUGUGUUCCUCCCUUCUGUCUAUGUCUGCUUGAGGGGUGCUUAGUAUCUCUUUCAUUAAUCUUCUUAUAUCUUGCUUUACUUGGUUAAAUAUUUCCCUUUUGAACUCAUCUAUGAGGUCCCGAAUAUAUUUCUUAAUGUCUACUGGCGCCGUGUCUGAUAUUGCAUGUUUGCUGUUCUCAUUCUCCUUUUUAUUUUCUUGUCCUGGGUCAAUGUUCUCAGGGUUGGGACCUGGUGAUUUUUUGUUGUGCUUCCUCUUCCCAUCUUUUUUGCUUCUUACAGAAGGCCCCAAUUUCUUUCUUUGUUGGUUGCAAUUCUUCCGAAGCACGCUGGCUAGAUGACCCUUCCCACUGCCAUGUGCUAGUGAGUUGCAGACAGGGACACCAUAUACUGGCCCCUCCCCUCUGGAUCAGUCAAGCUACUGUGGCCUGCACUGUAUUACUUUGUGGCACCUCCCCUCCGGAUGAGUCAAACUUCUGAGGCUUCACUGGGUUAGUGUGGUUAGUGUGUUCCACCGCUGUAGGGACUUGAUUUUGGAUAACCUAUUGGAUCUCAGCCAGGUUGUGUGACCCAGGCCUAGCUCACUCCACCAAUCCCGUUCGGGAAGGGAACAAUUGACUGAAGACACUGCUGCUCCUUGUACUUGCCAGUCCUGCCCAGUCCCAGAAUGUGGUCUGCCAGAGCCCCCCCUAUUUAUGGAAUGGCUCCACUCCCGCCACUCACCACUGGUCAAUGUAGGCACCCUGCCAACUCAGCUCUCUGGCUCACCAACCCCCAAACUCAAUGUAACUGCGCCCCCAGUGAGUUGAAGCGGUGGGACCUCGGAUGGUCAGCAAGUUGCCUUAAUUUCUUCUUGGGAUGAGAGAAUCCAUCUCCCUCUGUUUGGGGCUCCCCACCUCUGUGUUAAGUUGAAUUCUAAGUUGACCAUCUCAGGGGCCUUUGUAGCCAGUUGUUAUCUACCCACCAUCUUCCUUGGUGUUAUUUCAAUCCAAAUGUUUCCACAUGUGGAGAAGGUGCAGUGUCUACUGUAUUCUGAUGAACUGUCAUUUUGGUGAUGGCUGAUGGGCCUUCCUGAAGGUAAGGGCUUCGUAGAUGGUCAGUCAUCUGGAAGUAAAUCUUGUAUUACAAAGUCUUUGUUGAAGCACUGGAUGGAGCUUGGGUUCUGGGAGAAGUGGUCCUAACAGGGGUGUUGUUAGAGAAAUAGUGGCUACUUCAAAGUGGUGGUCACAGCCCAGAGACUAAGGAGAUGGAGCUGGUAGUCCAUGCCUCUUGGAGUGGUUCUUUUUAUGACUGUGUGCAGUUAGGUCCACUUGGAAUUGAUCUUUGCCACUAGUUGGACUUUUACUUGUUUCUUUUUCUUAUCCAGUCCCUUAGUAAAUAUAGCAUGUUGAGUAGAUUUUUAUUCCAUAAAUAUUGAGCACCUGCCACCUUCAAGGGGGAUCAGCAAACCUAGUAGACAAGUGUCCUGCUUUCAAGGGCUCUUUUCUAAUGUUAGCUUCUGAUAUAUGUAGGGAAUUAAGAAGUGAGUUAGUAUCCAAAACUUAAUCUGGUUCCAUGAAGAAGGCUGCACAAAUGUCUGCUUUCUUUGUGAGCACCUGGUGGGAUGGGCCUGGGGUCUGGAAAGGUCUGAGUACUUAAUUCAUUUUGAUACCAAGACCAAUAUUCUGCUAUCCUCCACUAUAGAGAAGCCUUUUUAAAUUUGGGCCCACUAAGUACACAUUUUCAUUAAUGCUCUGUAGAACUUACAUGGGCAGCUUGAACUCCAAACUAUGAGGAAAGAAAGUCAGCUCUUUGCAGCUUCUACUGGAAGCAUAAGUAAAAACCACUUAGUUUUUUGUUUGUUUGUUUUUGUUGUCAGGGUUUUGCUAUGCAGUUCAGGCUGGCUUUGAACUCACUUGGUAGCCCAGGCUGGCCUCGAACUUGCAGCAAUCCUCUUGCCUCAGCUUCCUAGAGCUGGGAUUAUAGGGGUAGGCCACCAUAUCCAGCCUUCCUAGUCAGUUCUGAUGCAAAUGAGAAUUGUUUAUAAUUAACAGUUACUUUUUUGACAUCCAAAAAUAGCACUCUCUGUGCUUUUUCUAACCAAGCUCAUGUCACUUAACAUCGUAUUUUAAUUUGAGAAAAAUUUCCUCCCAUCACAGAAAUAAUAUACAUAAACCUAUUAAAAUCUAAAAAAUAAAGAGUAGGGGAAAAUUUAAUAGCCUGUCUUGUGAUAUAUUUUUUCUUUUAAUGUAUUCGGUUUUACAUAGUUGCAGUUACAUGUUAUGCAUAAAAUUGCAUAUGCUGGCUUCUUUUAAAAUCUGUUUUAAAAAUAUCUGUUAACCAUAUGAAACAGGAAAAAUAUCUCUUAGAAAUUCAUUUCCCAGAGCAACUAUUCUUUCCUUUAAUACUCUGGUACAUUUCUUUGUCAUUCCCUCUCCUCCACCCUCUUCUCUCCACUCUCCUCCACUUCAAAUACGCUGGAUGACAAUUUUGUUAACAGAGGAGCCUAGGUAUACCCUGUUAGAAAGACCAUAAGAAGCAGCUCAGUGAAAGAUCAUAGGCAUCAGAAGUCUUUCUCAAUUAAACCUCUGUGACCCGUGACUCUGUGUGACUUUCAAAGGUUAAGCAAACCAUCGUUUGUGUACCAGGGCAGAAAAAAAAGUAGUGCAUUAUGCUGCACUAUUGUCAUCUGCUUUUGUGUAGGGAGAAUAUCUUUGAAAAAUAAUUCUUCUGGUUAAAUUUCUUAACAGAGUGACUGGUGUAGCUAUUAAUAGCAAGUGCUGGAAGAGAACACUGUUCAUUACUGUUUUAAGUGGCCAUUAAGCAUGAAAAAGAUUUCCUCUGAACAGAGAGUUGAAGGAUAUGGCUCAACAAGCUCACUUCCUGGCACUGGGAAGUAGAGAGAGCUGCUGAGAAGAGACUGAGAUGAGGGGGACACAGUAGGGCUGUGCUUUGCACACACACAAGUAGCCUCCAUUGGGAGAACUUGAUUUCAGGCCCCAACUUGAGUAGCUGAGGACUCCUCUGGCCAUUCUGUGACAAUAUCCUCUUUUUGGAAUUCUUAAUUUUCAUUAAUAUCUUGGUCAUCUGAACAUAUUUUUUAGAGAUUUCCUGAAUAGAAUACAGGAAUGAUUUAUUCUCCAAGACAUCACAAUUUUGAGAGUAAAUACUAUUGCCUUCAUGAGUUGAGAAUCCCAGUUCGAAAAUUCAAACUUGGAAACAUUUUAAACAACUGACAUGAUGUCACAAGUAGAAAAUUCCACCUUAACCUCAUGUAACAGGUGGCAGUCAAAAUGCAGGUGUACAAAGAAGUUUAUAAAAAUUACAUGUACACAGCUGAAUUUAUAUAUUUUUACAUAUAUACAUAUAUCUGAAUUUCAUGUUUAUACCUUUUUUUUUUGUUUGUUAUUGAGUACUGGGAAUCAAACUCACAAGGUCAUACUUGCCAGGCAGGCACAGUGUUACUGAGCUAUAUUCCCAGUCCUUAUGUUUAUACUUGAGUUCAAUCUUUAUUACAAGGUAAUGAGAUAUCUUAUUACUUAGAUGUAAACAUAUAAACUGAAAAAAAUGUAAAAAAAAAAAAACUACUGGAAAUAUCUAUCUAGUCAGAGUCCAAUAAAAAUUGUAUAUAUACUUUAGGAAAAGAAAAAUAUUAAAUAUCUAGAAGCUAAUGACCAGCAUUUUGAGCACCUUUUGUGAUUGUAACGGCCAAAGGUAGUUUGUAUUAAUCUCAUGAUGUCUCAAUAAACUUGGUACUAAAGUAUUUAUUCAGGUUUUUCUUUUCCUGAAUGUAUAUACAUUUUUGGCUCUCUCGCUCUCUCUGUCUCUCUCCCCAUAUGUGUAUAUGUAUAAUAUAUAUUAUAUAUAUAUAUCUUUGCUGUGUUUAUGCAUGUACGUAUAUAUGUAAUAAUUUUUUAAAAGCUUGUAGAGACGUCAUGCUUUCACUAUCUUCUGGAAAUUACUAUUGUAGAGGCCAUGUCUGAGGUAUCCUUUUAUUUUCUCUGCCUGUGUGAGGUUUCUUUUAGGAUUUUAUAGAAUAUGCAUUAUGUGACUUUCUAGAAUAUGCUCUUCUGCAGACCUCUAAAUAUAUUUUCCCACUGUGCAAUCCAGUUUCUUUCACUUUCUCUUGCAGUCCUUCCAUGAUAAAGUCUUGGACAGGAAGUCUUGCACUGGGAUAAGGAGGUCAAUGUUAAAGAAGGUUUUAGGGUGCAGAAGGAAGUAACCUCCUGCGGAGGCCUUCCCUGCCCACCUGUCCCUAAUCCCAGUCCUACUCCUGCAUUUCUUCUCUCUGCCUACUUUGCUAUUCUCUAGAACACUUCCCUGCCUGACAUAGAUCAGGUUUGCUCCUCUAUGGCCUCAUAGACUUUUCCUAGUCAUGCUUUGCUGGAUUGUAUUGAGAUUACAUUUUGGUCUUAGUCAUUCUUCGUGAAAAAUGCACAAACAACAUGGGAUUUUCCCUGUUCCCAUGACACCAUUUUCUUGUGAGGGGUACAAUGUGCUAUUAUUGCAAAUCAGUCCAAAGGUUUUUUUUUGUUUUGUUUCGUUUGGAUGGAAAUUACAAAUUGGCAAAGCGCAGUUCCAGGCAUUGAGUUCCAGGGGUUCUCACCCCUUAGGUGCUAGAAGUAGUGUUACAGCCUAUGGCAGUUUUUGUUAGCUCCUCAGCAGUCAAGGCUCAAACCCCAUUCCCAUCCCGAGCCCAUGAUAGCUUCUGUUGCUUCCCAAAGCUCUCUACAAAUCUGUGUUGUUCUCUUUCCAAAGCUACCAUUUGCUGCUGGUAGAUACCACAGAUUAAAAUUUGUUGUUGCCAUUAGUCAAUGCUGAUGGCUGGUAUUGAUUGAUAUCACUGGUGGUCACUGUUAAUUGUCCCCAGUUAAUUCUGCCAAUUUCUGGUGCUCUUUAAGGGUAGCAGCCCCUACUAUUCACUGCUCUUUUUAACAUGACUUCUCUGUCCAACUACCCAAGAGUCUUAAGUGGAUUUAUAGGCCUUCCUAGGCCCUGCUACCCAAAAAUUAAUCAGAAGCAGAUUUACAGGAUCACUGGAGCAAGGCUUUACUUGGACUUGUGCUGCAGUACAGGUCUAGAGGGAGCCUUGCCAUUCUAACCCAAGAAGUAUGAGAAUGUGUUGCUUAUGUGGAGGACAGAGAGGGAAGAAUCACCUGGGAUUGGUCCAAGUUUCAAGUCUUGGCAGAUGGAGCCUUCAGGGAUUGGCUACAGGGUGAAGUCAGCUGGUAUUGGUCAAAGUCUCAAGUUUACUGUGACAGAGGUGAUGGCACAAGAUGGAGUCUUUAGAAGUGGCCAUACCCAGCAGCAGAGCCUUUUGGGACUGGUUCAUUCUUCAAGCCUCCUGUGUUCAAUGCAGACAUCCCCUGGAGCUCCUGGGCAUCUGCAGCAGCUGCAGCUGUAGCUGUUAGUGAUAGCAUAAACCAUUCUAGUCAGGAAAAGAAAAGGUCAUCUGUUUCUUGUUUAUGUCACUAGUGCAUUCUCAUCCUUCCUGCUCCUAACUGUUUCCUCCGAGUGUCAGGAACGUUAGUCAGCUUUGCAUUGUUGUGACAAAUACCUGAGAAAUUUACCUUAAGUGAGGAAAGGUUUAUUUUGGCUUUUAUGAUUAUAGGUUUUAAUCCUUGGUCAGCUGGCUCUUUUGCUUUAGGCCUGUCACUGGUGAGGCAGAGGAAAGCUUCUCACUUCAUGCCAGUCAGGAAGGAGAUGAGAGAGAGAGAGAGAGAGAGAGAGAGAGAGACAGAGGCAGAAAGAGAGACAGAAAGAGACAGACAGUCAGAGACAUAGAGAGACAGAGAUAGAGAGAAACAGAGAGAGAGACAGAGACAGAGAGAGGAGAUAGACAGAAAGAGACAGAGAGACAGAGACACAGAGAGACAGAGAUAGAGAGAAACAGAGAGAAAAAGAGAGAGACAGAGAGACAGAGAGAGAGAGAGGGAGAGAGAGAGACAGAGAGAGAGAGAGCGAGAGAGAGAGAGAGAGAAAGAGAGACAGAAAGAGACAGACAGACAAAAACAUAGAGAGACAGAGAUAGAAACAGGGAGAGAGACAGAGACAGAGAGAGGAGAAAGACAGAAGAGACAGAGAGACAGAGACACAGAGAGACAGAGAUAGAGAGAAACAGAGAGAGAAAGAGAGAGAGAGACAGACAGACAGACAGAGAGAGAGAGAGAGAGAGAGAGAGAGAGAGAGAGAGACUGAGACCAGAGAGAAAGAUUGUGAGGAUCAGAUUUAAUCUCCAAGGUCACAGUCCCAUGAUUCAAUUCCUAUGACUAGGCCCCAUCUUCUAAUAAACCAUUCAGCAUAGAUUAAUUCAUGGAUAAAGUUAAUGCCUUCACGAUCCAAUCACUUCCCAAAAGUUCAUCACUUUUGGGACUUUGGGAACAUUUUACAUCUAAAGUGUAACAAACAAUUUCUUUCAUUUUUUUCAAACUUGUUUUAUUUUAUUUAUUUAGUUUUUUCUUUGAAAACUACUGUGUCUACUAUAUUUUUAAUUUUAAAAUGAAGAAAGAAUAAAAAAUGGUGCAGAAUUUCAAAACAAAAAGUCGAUUAACACUAAUUAAUAUAUUGUAUAUUGCUAUCUUCAACAUAGUUGUUCCGAUUACAAGAAAUAGGCAUGAAAAAGUGAUCGAACAAUUGAAUAAUAAAAGCACAAACUGUUUUGAUAAACUAACAGAUCAGUAGUAUUGUUAUCUAUCUUGUAUAAAUAUAUAUAUAUGAAUACAUGCAUAUACAAAUAUUUUUCCCUUCUCUCUUUUCUCUUUUCCCCAUCUUAGUUGUUCUUAACUUUGGAGCAAUUUCUUUCCCUCUCACUUUCACAAUACCUAUUGUACAUUGUGGAUUUCAUUUACUUUUUCAGUUUUUUCCACUAGGGAGACAAUGUAAUACUUAUACAUGCAAGUCUGAUUUAUUUCCCUUUUACGUAUGGUCUCAAGUUGCAUUCAUUUACCUAGAAAAGCCUCGAGUUUAUCUUUAUAGAUAUAAUGGAGUAAUAUUCCAUUAUAAAAAAUACCUCAUAUUUUUUAAUCCAUUUUGUGGUUGAGGGCAUUUGGAUUAUUUCCAAGAUUUAGCUAUUACAAAUUGUGCUGCUAUAAACAUGGGUGCACAUAUAUCACUGUGGGAUGAUGUUUUCAAUUCUGGGAAAAUACUCAGAAGGGCAAUACUUGGAUUGAAUGGGACCUCCAAUCCUUGUAUUUUGAGGAGUCUCCACAUUGAUUUCCACAGUAGUUGUACCAGUCUGCACUGUCACCAACAGUAGAGAAGGGCUCCUUUUUCCUCACAGCCCCUCUAGCAUUUGUUAUUGGUUGAUUUCUUGAUGAUAGCCACUUUUUCUGGAGUGAAGUGGAAUCUCGGUGUUGUUUUAAUUUGAAUUUCUCAAAUGACCAGUGAUGCUGAACAUUUUUUCAUAUGUUUAUUUGCCAUUUGUAAUUCUCCAUCUGAGAAGCGUGUAUUCAUUUUAGAUCCCCAGUUUUGGACUGUGUCUUUGAAUCUGGGGCCCAGAUUUUUUUCAGUCUUUCUUUGUAUUUUCUAGAUAUAAGUCCUUUGAAGGACAGUUGGCUAAAAUUUUUUCCCAUUCUUGGGGAUUUAUUUUCACUUCGUUAGUGAUUUCUUUUGAUGUGCAAAAACUUUUUAAUAAGAUGCGAUCCCAGUUGUUGAUUCUUUGAAGUAUUUUCCAUGCAUUUUUCAUUUUGCUCAUGAACUCUUUACUUACUCUUCUAUCUUCAAGGUUUCUACCUAACUUGUAUUCCAGUGGAUUUAGGGUUUAUGUUUUAAUAUUUAGAUCUUUGACCCAUUUUGACUUUGGUUUAGUGCAUGGUGGUAGACUGUGUUUAGUUUUAGUCUUUAGCAUGUAGAAAACCAAUUUUUCCAAUACUAUUUAUUAAAGAGGCUGUCUUCCAGUGAAUGCUCCUUUGUCAAAGUUAAGGUGGCUGAAUAUCUUUGUUGUGUCUGCAUCUUCUAACCCGUUCCACUGAUCCUCAGGCCUGUUUUGUUUUGUUUUUUUUUUUUUUUUUGGCCAGUAUCAUGCUGAUUUUAUAACAGUAACUUUGUAGUAUAAUUUCAAGUCUGGGAUUAUGAUGCCUAACAAUUAAUUUGUAAACGGAUGUAAUACUAACUGAUGUUCUACUUGAAAGACUGCUAUACAACAGCAGUGUGACUGUGUUCAUUCCUCUACAGAGCCAUGGUUGCCUCAAAAAGCAGCAGUCAUGUAGUAGGUCAGAGUUUAUGUAUUUCUGAUUGACCUAAGACUCAUAUUUUUAUGUGGACUUUGUUUUUGAGGCUAAAAGGGAGUGAAAAGAUGACUGAUUUUCUGCCUAGAUGACAGUUCCUUUUAUUGGAGGUAAAAGUUGAGAAGAUCAUUCAGAUUCUGGGUUCUUAGUUAUAGGUUGUGGUUCUUGUUUUCUCUAUUGUGAUUUUUUCCCAUUUUGUACCUUCAUAUGAAUUUUAAUACUAUACUAUUGUUUCAGGCUUUCUACCAGAUUUGCUUUUUCAAAUUGGGCUUGAUUUAUUAAUUUAUUUGAUACACACGCUUCACAGGGAAUGGAAAGGUGAAGUUUGAGGAACUCAAUCUGUCCCCCAAAAGACAAGUAAGAGACUGCAAGUUUAAGUUACUAUAGAAUAUUUAAGCGUGCCUUGUUAUUGUUUCUAAAUGCACACAAAUGCAUCUUUUAGCAAUUUUUCACCACAUUCACUCUUACUAUUUUAUAUGAUUAGAAAGUUUUAAAUAAAUCUACCUGGUUAACUAAGGUUGGAAUGUGGAUUAUACAUUUACUUUAUCCAUUUAUAAAUGUGAAGAACUGAAGACUACGAGGGAAAAAAAUGAAACCCAGAGAAACUGAUAGAAUGUAUUUAAAUAAUUCCUUUGUAAUUUGCUGAUGCUAAGACAUUUUCUUCCCUUGAAAACCUGAAAUUUCUCUUUUAACUUCCCUGAAGUUUGUCAGAAUAAAUUAAUGAAUUAAUUAAUAUUCGGGCGUUUUGUGGUAUUUUGACAAUAGUCUUCAACCUUUUCUCAUGUUACUUUAUAUUUGAGACAACAUAUUCACAGUUUGUUGAUAAUGCAUUUCGUUGCAGCCUGAGAUAUCUUCAGGUCUAAAGCCAGGUUCACAUUUUUGCUUUGAAGAGACAGAAAUUCCAAACAAAUACAAACAGUCAGGCCAUAAACUUAAUCAAAAUUUCUGUUUUACUAGAUGUUACAUUAAAUAUGGCCAUAAUGCCAA